GGGUCGUCCAAGGCCCAAGUGGCUGUGACAACCUGAGAUCUCCAGGGUUGCUGGGAGCCUCCAGCUCAUCGACCCCUGGAAGUUCCAGCGCAUGAAGAAGGUGGGCACAGCUCAGACCAAGAUCCAGCUCCUGCUGCUCGGGGACCUGUUGGAACAGCUCGAUCAUGGCCGUGCUGAGCUGGACGCCCUGCUCCGGUCUCCUAGCCCCCGCCCCUCCUCGCCACCCCCAUCACCGUGACCGGGCUCCGGCCUUCCUUACCCACCUCCCUGGCUUGGGGGGCUCCCUCAGGGAAUGACACUCCUAGGCCGUGAUGUCUCCCACCAUCCCCUGCCCAGCCUCUAGUGCUCAUCAGCACGCCCGCCCGAGGAGGCAGCAGCACCACCGGGGAUCCCUGGCUGUGAGCAGCUCAGCCGUGCCCCUCCGUGCCCCGCCCCACCUUUUGUUCCUCAAGGGCCUUCCCGGCCCUGAGCUCCCUCUCUCCUCCAGGAUCAGCUGCUUUUGCUAGGCGUCCAGCCCCUGCGUCCCCUCACCGCUCACCUUCAGGGCCGCAGCUGCCCCUUCCUCCCAGAAGCCUUCCCUGGCUGCAGGCUGGUGAGGUCCCCAAGUCCCCCUUCCUAGAGGCGCCUUCUCAUCCUCUCUGCAGGCGCUUCUCAA
rnacentral:lncRNA from 1 species